AACAUUGCCUGUUGUCCUGCAGGCAGUAGUCCCGCAGCAAGCCAGCAUGCUUUCCUGGGGACAUGAUACCUGAGCUGGGCGUUUAAGGAUGCACUGGAGUUGUCCAGGUGGUGAAUAAGAGAAUGCACUCCAGGCAGAAGGAAGAGCAGGUGCAAAGGCUUAGAGACACGAAAGAGGGUGUUGUAUUUAAGGAAUGCCGGAAAGCAAUGAAGAUUCUAGAGGCACCUGCAUUCCUUGGCUUGUGGCCUCUUCCUCCAUCUCAAAGUGCAUCGCUCCAAUUUCUGCUUCUGUCAUCACAUCGCCUUUUCCUCCAGCUCCGACUCCUCCUGCAUCCAUCUGAAAAGGAUAAUCCAGGAUAUUCUCCCUAUCUCAAGAUCCUUCAUCACAUCUGCAAAGUCUCAGGCUGCUACCAAAGGGGCCACGCAGGACGUCCUCUGGGGAAUGCUGGCUCCCACACCACCCGCCUCGGCUCCUGGGCCAAGGUUUUGCCUUGAUCUGUCCAUCCCACUGCACAUGGCUUCAAGGAGGCAUUCAUGGGAAUCCCUGCUCAGGUCAGGCAGCAUCGUGUCAAGGUCAUGGCCCCUUGAAGAUUCUUUGAGGAAGUGGCUGUUGAGCUCCCAACCCCAGGGCUGGAGCAGGAGGAUCAGACACCCCGGCCUCAGCCCCAGAGCAUGAAAGCCCUCCCCACUCACCCAGCUGCUCUGCAGACCCACACUUGCACACAACUCCAUGUGCCACUGACCAGCUCUGACCUCGUCCUGGGCAAGGCUGGCGGGGCCUAGACCCAAACCCACAACAGUGUGUGGCUCCCAGGGAGGCAGCGUUUCCUGGGCACCAGCUCUUUAGAGAAUGCCUUCAGAAGUCCCCAUCCAGCCUCUCCCCUCAUGAAAUCCUGUCCUUGAAUCAUCCAGCCUAGCCCCCUGAGUAGCUGUGCAUUUCCGAGACCCCGAAUCCAUAAUAUUCAUAUGAAUGAGGUGGAGGGCAGGGAGAAUCGCUGCCAUUUAUUCAACCCUUAAUAAAUGCUGGGGGCUGCACAAAGCACUUUAAAUAAAUACAGCCUCUCAUUUUAAUCCUAAACAGGCCUGUGAGGGAGGUGCCAUGAUUACCCUUGUUUUAUAGAUGAUGAAAGCUAGGGCUCAGAAGAUGAAGUCCUUUACCAAAGGUCACACAGCUAGAAAGCAGAGAGGCCAGGAGUAGCACCCACUUGCUACAAGAGACUGGCCCCUCCAGACACAGUCCUUCCCGACAGCCUCUUUGAGGUUUCCCUGGACCUAGCCCAUCGGGACACUGUCCUCACAGCAAAGUAGCAGCCCCAGGCUGGGCACACGGCAGGAACCCUGUGCUGUGGCCCCCCGACCCAGUCCUGUGAACCCUUCCUUACUCCUCUGGCUCUGCUGGGACCAUGCUCUCCACCCCAGAGCUGGGAUAGCUGGGCCCUCUCCUCGCCCUCUCAUCCCAGCGUCCACCCUCCUGUUCAGAGCUGGACCGUUAGCCCAUGGGCCCCCUAGGAUUCUCUUUGCUUCCAGUUCCCCAGGUGACCAGCAGAUCUGUUAUUCCUCUCAUUUCACUUAUUCAUUUAUUCAGUGGAGUUUAGGGGCAGUCAGGAGGCCCUGGGGACUUGUGAGUGGCUGGUAUCAGCCAAGGGCCAGGUCCAGCCUCUGUGGGUAGACACGAAUGACUUAUUAGGGCUCUGAAAAGGGGCUGUGGAUGUGUCUGCCAUGGUCAGUCCCUGGGGCGAGAGCCAGCGUCCAAGGCCAUGCUUGCCUGCCCUGGUCACCAGAAAGGGCUGGGAGAGGAGGAAGAACUGGGAGCAGGUUAGGACUUCAGAGCUCCCCUAGCUACUCACCAACCUCAGGGACAGGCAGGGGCCAGCCCCUGGAGAAGCCCCCCGUACCUGCUCCCCACCCCACCAUACACACGCAGUCUCCCUACAGUGUCCCCCUCCCUUCCUGGCCCCUGAGUCUCCGAGGCAGCAGGAGGAGCAGCAGAAGAUCCCAGGACGUGAAGUUCAAAGACAGACAGUCACCCCAGCCACCUGUCUCCCAUCACCAUCGCCAUCACCAGGGCCUCUGAGCCCCACACCCCUCCUCACUGCCCAUGUGUCCCCAUUUCUCAGGGUCCCUAUGUUCUGAUGGUGUCACAAGCCCUAGGAGUUAAAAAGUGACAGUUCCCUUCACCUUCUUCUCCUCUCUACAAUCCCCUGCCCCUCCUAGCAGGUGAGCCCCGCUAGCAGGUUGGUGUCUAUUCUACAGACCCUUUUAUGUGCAUUAAAAAAACUCCACAUGGAUAUCACAGAGAUCGACAUAUGUAGGAUUUACUUUACAGAAAUAGCGCCAAGCCAUAUACAUUUUUCUCUGAUGUGCCUUUUUUUAGUAGUGUGGAAAUCUUUCCAUAUUUAUGUAUACACAUCUACCAUAAUUCUUAGCUAUUGCAGAUUUUAUACUGAAAAGAAAACAGAAAGGCUAAGGCUAAAUACCCAUACUCCCAUAGCUUUUUUGUCAAGUACAUGAACGAAGAAGUAAAAGCCUCCAAACAUAGCA